AUACUUACCUGGCAGGAGAGAUACAAUGAUCACCACGGUGGUUUUCCCAGGAUGAGGCUCAUCCAUUGCAUUCUGCGUGUGCUGACCCCUGCGUUUUCCCCAAAUGAGGGAAAUUCAACUGCAUAAUUUGUGGUAGUGGGGGACUACAUUCAUGCUUUCCCCUG
ensembl:snRNA U1 U1 spliceosomal RNA